CAUACACUGAUGUGUAGGUUGGAUACUGAACUCUACAUGAUGAAGCCAUAGACUGCUGGAAAAUCUUGUGUAAUAAACAAUUUAAGUUAGUCUAUAAAGUGCUACUAGUGUAAUGAAUUGUUUUAAGCUGAAUUUUAUUGUUGUGAUAAUAUUAAUACUGAUACUUCUUCUAAUUUAAUUUCUCAUUAAUAAGGAAAAGUAAUAAAGCCAAUAAGUUAUGUAACAUUUUAAAGGUAAAAUUAAUUAUAGAAUAUGAUUAUAGAGCAUAUUUGCUACUAAAUGUUUCUAAUUAAUUUUAAAGGGGUUUUUUUUUUUUUUACAUAUGGUUGAUUAAUCAACCUAACUGUAUUAAGAUCAGUUGCAGAUCGCCAAGGCAAGCAAGGUAUGCAGAGCAUAACCUGGCUAAAAAAAAUAUAGUAGUACAGUUUCUCCAUUUUAUCUAGCAUUUUUGAGAAUCUGUAUAAACCUUAAUUUUGCUACAGUUCAUUGGAAUACCAAAGUUUUUCAAUGGUAGACCUACUUUGGUAUUUAGGAUAAGUUACAGUCAGGCCUAUCACAUCGUACUCUCAGCUGCUCAAUGGGAGUCAGAGCAUACCCUACAACGCUUAAAUUUGCUAUUGUGACAACCGUGUGGUGGCGUCAGAAUAGCCAAUUUAACACUGGACUGGAAGCGGUCCUUCCAAGAGUAUGUGCGCAUUCUCUUCUUCUCACAAAUCGGGACCUCCACUGGCGAUCAGGUAUUGUAUCUCUAGGAAUAAUCUCAAUGAUUAAAGUUUAAAAAUUUUGCAUAUAUAUGACAAGUAUAGAAGAAAUUUUGAAUAAUUAUUAUUUAAAUUUAAAUUUGUGAAAAUACAGCAAUAGGAAUUCUUUUGAAGAGAAAAGAUACUACAACCAUGCCAGUAUUUAAAAUAACAUACAUUUGGAUUUUGACAUGGAUCUGAUUCGAUUCAGAACAUUGAUAAAUCCCUUUGUGCAAGCAUAGGGUACUCUGAAUAUCAGUUCAAAUUAGCUGCUCAACGUUUCAUUCAAAAUCUACAAACUAUUGCUUCUUGUAAUCAAAUUGGACACCCUGUCACCAAUCUCAGCCAGUCACAUCUCUGGAUUGUGCCUGAUCAAGCUAAUCUGAAUUCUGAUUGGAUAGUGAAUAGAACCUGUAAUUGUGGACUCUGCCAUUUUGAUUGUUCAGAGAAUAUUGUAGAAAUAGGAAAUACGAAUACUCAUGCCGAACUAUUCACAAAUCAAAGCAGUGUUAAAGCUAGAAAAGAACCUAGAUGUUCCAAUGUAGUACUACAUGAAAAUGUCAUAAUUGACCAGUAUGAUACCAAACUGAACGGGUUAAAUGUAGCUGUUGAAACCGGCAAUAUUAUCCUUCGAAUACAGCAAACUAUUUCCAUUAGUUAAAUAUCUCUGGUUCAAUCAUGACAUUGGUUAAAUAUCAUGGUAAAAACUUGGUUGACUUGACUUCACAAUGCAUGAUGACAUCAUACAGCUGUUGCGCUUUUCGACUUUUGGGCUCUGGGAAACAGCCUGGUAAUUCUUCAUGGGCAACGUUUGCCUAAGUGCAUUGAUAAUCCCAUUGAACAUAAUAUGUAAGCAUAAAAGCAAUUCUAAUGACAGAAGACAACUAGGUGCAAUGGUAUAUUUAGUAAUAGACUAUUUACAUGUGAUUUUGAGGGGGUGGGGAGGGAUUUUGCAAUGCUCUGAUAUGAUAUGAUUCUUAAUCUUAGCUACUUGAAUGAUUAAAAUCUUCCAUGUAUGUUUGAACACUAAUUAAUAUCCUUUUUCAGCUUAGUGUAAUAUUCGUCAAUUGGAACAUUUAAAAUUGAGAACUGAUGUGAUAUGGAAACAGGGAUGUAUCUGGGUGGGGUGGGGUAACGAAACCAUGGCUCCUCCCUUUGUACACAGUGUUAGUAUUUUAAAGCUUCUUUUGCUAGCCAAUACAAAUUCUUUCUUGAACUCAAAAUAAUUACUUCUAAAAUAUGUAAAUAUGAAUAUAUAACACAUAUAGGCCUAGUCCUAAGUGUGAUUUUUUUGUGAUUGUUGUAAAUCAUUUUGCUGACCUAUGCUAUGUGAGGACAACAUGUCACUUUUAUGCAUUUACAAAUUUAAAAAAAAAAAAACUGAGUUUGGUGUUAAUUUAAAUGCUGUUCAAUUUGUAAUUGAUUACUAUGUAUUGUGUGACUCGUGCUCAAUAAAAGUCACCCGCUACCCUGAGA
rnacentral:lncRNA from 1 species